rnacentral:rRNA from 1 species
GACGAACGCUGGCGGCGUGCUUAACACAUGCAAGUGGAGCGACGAACCGGGCUUCGGCCCGGGGCAAAGCCGCGAACGGGUGAGUAUCACGUGGGUAACCUGCCCCGAUGACCGGGACAACCCGAGGAAACUCGGGCUAAUACCGGAUGUGCUCCUCGCACACCGGUGCGAGGAGGAAAGGAAGCUUCGGCCUCCGCAUCGGGAUGGGCCCGCGGCCCAUUAGCUUGUUGGUGAGGUAAAGGCUCACCAAGGCGACGAUGGGUAGCUGGUCUGGGAGGACGAUCAGCCAGACUGGGACUGAGACACGGCACAGACUCCUACGGGAGGCAGCAGUGGGGAAUCUUGCGCAAUGCGCGAAAGCGUGACGCAGCAACGCCGCGUGAGGGAAGAAGGCCUUCGGGUUGUAAACCUCUUUCAGGAGGGACGAAGGUUCAGGCGCGAAUAGCGUCCUGGACUGACGGUACCUCCAGAAGAAGCCCCGGCUAACUACGUGCCAGCCGCCGCCGUAAUAC